GCCUUCAUGGUGUAGUGGUCAGCAUGCUUGCCGCGUAUUCGAGAGGUCCGUGGUUCAAGUCCUGGUGAAGGCG
rfam:Stegodyphus mimosarum contig106845, whole genome shotgun sequence.